UCGGAGCAGCAAUGCUUAGAGGCGAACGGGUGAGGAAAACGUAGUAACCAACCCUUUAGACUGGGAUAGCCACUGGAAACGGUGGGUAAUACCGGAUAAGCUCGAGAGAGGAAAGGCAGAGAAGCGCUAAAGGACGGAACUGCGCCCCAUCAGAUAGUUGGUGAGGCAAAGGCUUACCAAGUCAAAGACGGGAAACCGACGUGAGAGCGUGUACGGUCACAAGGGCACUGAGAGACGGGCCCUACUCCUACGGGAGGCAGCAGUGGGGAAUAUUGGACAAUGGACGAAAGUCUGAUCCAGCGACGCCGCGUGGAGGAAGAAGUCCUUCGGGAUGUAAACUCAUGAAGCUAACGAAUAAGACGGAAGGGGAACCUUCCGGGAGAAGGUAAUUAGUGAAAAGCCCCGGCUAACUACGUGCCAGCAGCCGCGGUAAUACGUAGGGGGCGAGCGUUGCCCGGAAUUACUGGGCGUAAAGGGAACGUAGGUGGCUCUUAAAGUCAGGUGUGAAAAUAACGAAGCUUAACAGGUUAAUGCGCUUGAAACUAAAGGGCUUGAGGGCAAUAGAGGGAGAUGGAAUUACCUGUGUAGGGGUGAAAUCCGCAGAUAUAGGUAAGAAGGCCGGUGGGGAAGCCGAUCUCCUGGGUUGACUCUGACACUGAGGUUCGAAAGCUAGGGGAGCAAACCGGAUUAGAUACCCGGGUAGUCCUAGCCGUAAACGAUGCUCACUGGGUGUGGGUCGAAAAGAUCUGUGCUGAAGCUAACGCGAUAAGUGAGCCGCCUGGGGAGUACGUCCGCAAGGAUGAAACUCAAGGAAUUGACGGGGGUCCGCACAGGCGGUGGAGCAUGUGGUUUAAUUCGAUGCUAACC
rnacentral:rRNA from 1 species